GACGAACGCUGGCGGCGUGCCUAAUACAUGCAAGUCGAACGAAGCUUUUUUAACUGGUGCUUGCACCGACUUAAACAACUGAGUGGCGAACGGGUGAGUAACACGUGGGUAACCUGCCCCAAAGCGGGGGAUAACAUUUGGAAACAGAUGCUAAUACCGCAUAACCACAGAAACCACAUGGUUUCUGUGUCAAAGAUGGUUUCGGCUAUCACUUUGGGAUGGACCCGCGGCGUAUUGGCUAGUUGGUAAGGUAAUGGCUUACCAAGGCAAUGAUACGUAGCCGAACUGAGAGGUUGAUCGGCCACCUUGGGACUGAGACACGGCCCAAACUCCUACGGGAGGCAGCAGUAGGGAAUCUUCCACAAUGGACGAAAGUCUGAUGGAGCAACGCCGCGUGAGUGAAGAAGGUUUUCGGAUCGUAAAACUCUGUUGUCAGAGAAGAACGUGUGCGAGAGUAACUGUUCGUGCAGUGACGGUAUCUGGCCAGAAAGCCACGGCUAACUACGUGCCAGCAGCCGCAGUAA
rnacentral:rRNA from 1 species